ensembl:lncRNA
CUUGCCCUAAAAGUAUUUCCUGUGGAUCCUGGCGAGUGGACUGUUAGGGUUGAGAAAUGCUUUGGUCUGCUCUGCUAUUUAUAGAGGACUUUACGGAAACAGUCCUACCUACAGGCUGCCUGACGUCCCAGCUGGGACGAGGCCGGAGGCUGGUAUCCAUGGUGACCAAAGACAUCAGGAUCAGUGGAUAGAAAAUAAUGGAGGAUGGGGCGAUCAGGGCAAUCAAUUAAUCAAUAAAUGUGAUAAAGGAGAGAAUGAGAGGUUAUAGGAUGAUCAGGACCUGUAGUGGAAGGGUCGGGCCGGGGAUCGUCCCAGAAGCAGCUGGGGGUCCACAAGCUGAGCGCUGACAGUCAUAUCGGCCGUGUUGAAACAGACCCCCCAGUGGUCUGAGGAAGGCGCUCGUCCAUACUGCACUUUGAGGGAUCUCCCACAGGAAGUUGAUCUUACCGUACUUCCUGCGAUACAAAGAUUAUACACCGACACCCAAUAUGUACAUUGACACGUAUUAAUGAGAAGUGCUGACCAUCUGCGUCACAUGUUCAUAGCGGCACAGACAGGAACUGGAAGCCAAACACGGAGGAACCCUGCUCAGCCGUAACACACUGAGACUGGAUGAGGGCUUACAAACAGCCGGACAAAGCCAAGCAAAAAACCCCAUGCUUACUAGCGACAUGAUGGUUGACAUUGAGAACGGGACAAGUCUACACAAUUAACCCUUUGGCAACAAAUCCCCGGACAGGGAGAGAGGGGGGGUCUAAACAUGCCACGAAAGAAAUAAACAAAAACGAAAAAAGAAUAGAAA